CCUACGGGAGGCAGCAGUGGGGAAUAUUGGACAAUGGGCGCAAGCCUGAUCCAGCAAUGCCGCGUGGGUGAAGACGGCCUGCGGGUUGUAAAGCCCUUUAGGCGGGGAAGAACGGCCGGGCGUGAAUAGCGCGCGGCUCUGACGUUACCCGCAGAAUAAGCACCGGCUAACUCCGUGCCAGCAGCCGCGGUAAUACGGAGGGUGCGAGCGUUAAUCGGAAUUACUGGGCGUAAAGCGUGCGUAGGCGGUUCGGUCAGUCAGCCGUGAAAGCCCCGGGCUCAACCUGGGAACGGCGGUUGAGACGGCCGGACUAGAGUGGGCUAGAGGAUCGUGGAAUUCCCGGUGUAGCGGUGAAAUGCGUAGAGAUCGGGAGGAACACCGAUGGCGAAGGCAGCGGUCUGGGGCCACACUGACGCUGAGGCACGAAAGCGUGGGGAGCAAACAGGAUUAGAUACCCUGGUAGUCCACGCGGUAAACGAUGAGCACUAGACGUCGGGUGGGUGACCGUCCGGUGUCGCAGCUAACGCGCUAAGUGCUCCGCCUGGGGAGUACGGCCGCAAGGUUGANACUCAAAGGAAUUGACGG
rnacentral:rRNA from 1 species